GGUUAAGUGACUAAGCGUACACGGUGGAUGCCUUGGCAGUCAGAGGCGAUGAAAGACGUAGUAACUUGCGAUAAGCCCAGAUUAGGUAGUAACAACCAUUUGAGUCUGGGAUUUCUGAAUGGGGAAACCCACGUGCAUAAGCACGUAUCCUUACCUGAAUACAUAGGGUAAGGAGGCGAACCGGGGGAACUGAAACAUCUAAGUACCCCGAGGAAAAGAAAUCAACCGAGAUUCCGAAAGUAGCGGCGAGCGAAAUUGGACUAGCCCUUAAGCUUUACACGCGUUAGACGAACGGUCUGGAAAGUCCGACGAUACAGGGUGAUAGUCCCGUAGUUGACGACGUGUGUUCAGUGAAAUCGAGUAGGGCGGGACACGUGAUAUCCUGUCUGAAUAUGGGGGGACCAUCCUCCAAGGCUAAAUACUACUGACUGACCGAUAGUGAACCAGUACCGUGAGGGAAAGGCGAAAAGAACCCCUGUGAGGGGAGUGAAAUAGAACCUGAAACCGUGUACGUACAAGCAGUAGGAGCAGGCUUUGUCCUGUGACUGCGUACCUUUUGUAUAAUGGGUCAGCGACUUAUAUUCAGUGGCAAGGUUAACCAUCUAGGGGAGCCGUAGGGAAACCGAGUCUUAACUGGGCGUUCAGUCUCUGGAUAUAGACCCGAAACCAGGUGAUCUAGCCAUGGGCAGGUUGAAGGUUGAGUAACAUCAACUGGAGGACCGAACCGACUAAUGUUGAAAAAUUAGCGGAUGACUUGUGGCUAGGGGUGAAAGGCCAAUCAAACCUGGAGAUAGCUGGUUCUCCCCGAAAGCUAUUUAGGUAGCGCCUCGGACGAAUACUACUGGGGGUAGAGCACUGUUAAGGCUAGGGGGUCAUCCCGACUUACCAACCCUUUGCAAACUCCGAAUACCAGUAAGUACUAUCCGGGAGACACACGGCGGGUGCUAACGUCCGUCGUGGAGAGGGAAACAACCCAGACCGCCAGCUAAGGUCCCAAAUUACUACUAAGUGGGAAACGAUGUGGGAAGGCUCAGACAGCCAGGAUGUUGGCUUAGAAGCAGCCAUCAUUUAAAGAAAGCGUAAUAGCUCACUGGUCGAGUCGGCCUGCGCGGAAGAUGUAACGGGGCUAAGUAGUAAACCGAAGCUGCGGCAAUGUGCUUUUGCACAUUGGGUAGGGGAGCGUUCUGUAAGCGGUUGAAGGUGUGUGGUAACGCAUGCUGGACGUAUCAGAAGUGCGAAUGCUGACAUGAGUAACGAUAAAGGGGGUGAAAAACCUCCUCGCCGGAAGACCAAGGGUUCCUGUCCAACGUUAAUCGGGGCAGGGUAAGUCGACCCCUAAGGCGAGGCCGAAAGGCGUAGUCGAUGGGAAACGGGUUAAUAUUCCCGUACUUCUUACAAUUGCGAUGGGGGGACGGAGAAGGCUAGGUGGGCCUGGCGACGGUUGUCCAGGUUCAAGUGCGUAGGCUUAAGAGUUAGGUAAAUCCGGCUCUUUCUAAGGCUGAGACACGACGUCGAGCACCUACGGGUGUGAAGUCAUUGAUGCCAUGCUUCCAGGAAAAGCCUCUAAGCUUCAGAUUGUAAGGAAUCGUACCCCAAACCGACACAGGUGGUCGGGUAGAGAAUACCAAGGCGCUUGAGAGAACUCGGGUGAAGGAACUAGGCAAAAUGGUACCGUAACUUCGGGAGAAGGUACGCUCUCGACGGUGAAGUCCCUUGCGGAUGGAGCUAUUGAGAGUCGCAGAUACCAGGUGGCUGCAACUGUUUAUUAAAAACACAGCACUGUGCAAAAUCGUAAGAUGACGUAUACGGUGUGACGCCUGCCCGGUGCCGGAAGGUUAAUUGAUGGGGUUAGACUUCGGUCGAAGCUCUUGAUCGAAGCCCCGGUAAACGGCGGCCGUAACUAUAACGGUCCUAAGGUAGCGAAAUUCCUUGUCGGGUAAGUUCCGACCUGCACGAAUGGCGUAAUGAUGGCCACGCUGUCUCCACCCGAGACUCAGUGAAAUUGAAAUCGCUGUGAAGAUGCAGUGUACCCGCGGCUAGACGGAAAGACCCCGUGAACCUUUACUACAGCUUGGCACUGAACAUUGACCCUACAUGUGUAGGAUAGGUGGGAGGCUUUGAAGCACGUACGCCAGUAUGUGUGGAGCCGUCCUUGAAAUACCACCCUUGUAGUGUUGAUGUUCUAACGUCGACCCCUAAUCGGGGUUGCGGACAGUGCCUGGUGGGUAGUUUGACUGGGGCGGUCUCCUCCCAAAGAGUAACGGAGGAGCACGAAGGUGGGCUAAUCACGGUUGGACAUCGUGAGGUUAGUGCAAUGGCAUAAGCCCGCUUGACUGCGAGAAUGACAAUUCGAGCAGGUGCGAAAGCAGGUCAUAGUGAUCCGGUGGUUCUGAAUGGAAGGGCCAUCGCUCAACGGAUAAAAGGUACUCCGGGGAUAACAGGCUGAUACCGCCCAAGAGUUCAUAUCGACGGCGGUGUUUGGCACCUCGAUGUCGGCUCAUCACAUCCUGGGGCUGAAGUCGGUCCCAAGGGUAUGGCUGUUCGCCAUUUAAAGUGGUACGCGAGCUGGGUUUAGAACGUCGUGAGACAGUUCGGUCCCUAUCUGCCGUGGGCGUUGGAAGAUUGAAGGGGGCUGCUCCUAGUACGAGAGGACCGGAGUGGACGAACCUCUGGUGUUCGGGUUGUGUCGCCAGACGCAUUGCCCGGUAGCUAAGUUCGGAAUCGAUAACCGCUGAAAGCAUCUAAGCGGGAAGCGAGCCCUGAGAUGAGUCUUCCCUGAUACUUUAAGUAUCCUAAAGGGUUGUCGGAGACUACGACGUUGAUAGGUCAGGUGUGUAAGUGCUGUGAGGCAUUGAGCUAACUGAUACUAAUUGCCCGUGAGGCUUAACCAU
rnacentral:rRNA from 1 species